rnacentral:rRNA from 1 species
GACGAACGCUGGCGGCGUGCCUAAUACAUGCAAGUCGAGCGAAUCUUGAGGUGCUUGCACCUCUUGGUUAGCGGCGGACGGGUGAGUAACACGUGGGCAACCUGCCUGUAAGACUGGGAUAACUUCGGGAAACCGGAGCUAAUACCGGAUAAUCCUUUUCCUCUCAUGAGGCAAAGCUGAAAGUCGGUUUUUCGCUGACACUUACAGAUGGUCCCGCGGCGCAUUAGCUAGUUGGGGAGGUAACGGCUCACCAAGGCGACGAUGCGUAGCCGACCUGAGAGGGUGAUCGGCCACACUGGGACUGAGACACGGCCCAGACUCCUACGGGAGGCAGCAGUAGGGAAUCUUCCGCAAUGGACGAAAGUCUGACGGAGCAACGCCGCGUGAGCGAUGAAGGCCUUCGGGUCGUAAAGCUCUGUUGUUAGGGAAGAACAAGUAUCGGAGUAACUGCCGGUACCUUGACGGUACCUAACCAGAAAGCCACGGCUAACUACGUGCCAGCAGCCGCAGUAACAC